UUUGGUUAGGAUUUGAUUUAGAAUUUAGGAUUUGUUUAGGAUUUAAGAUUUGGUUUAGGAUUUAGGAUUUGAUUAGGAUUUGAUUUAGGAUUAGGAUUUGGUUAGGGUUUGAUUUAGGAUUUAGAAUUUGGUUAGGAUUUGGUUUAGGGUUUAGGAUUUGGUUAGAAUUUAGUUUAGGAUUUAGGAUUUGGUUAGACUUUGAUUUAGGAUUAGGAUUUGAUUAAAAGUUGAUUUAGAGUUUAGGAUUUGAUUAAGGUUUUGAUUUAAGAUUUAAGAUUUUAUUAGGGUUUGUUUAAGAUUUAAGAUUUAGUUAAUUUUUGGCCUAAAGUUUCAAUGAAGUCCAAUAGGAUUUCAACUAAGAUUAAAUUAAGAUUGAAUUGAGAUGUAUUUGAGAUAUAUUUUUAAUCAUUUUAAUAUUUUUUUAAGAUUUUUUAUUGUUUCUUUGUAAUUCCUUUGAGGUUUCUUUGAAUUUGAUUAAAGCUUGCUUAAUAUUAUUAUAGUCUAAUUAGAAUUUAGUUAGUGUUCCAUUAGAAUUAGGAUUUUGUUGUUACAAUUUCCAUUCUACCUUCCACAGUCAG
rnacentral:lncRNA from 1 species